rnacentral:tRNA from 1 species
UAAGACUUGUAAAACACUAAUCUACAUCUCCUGAAUGCAACUCAAGCACUUUCAUUAAGCUAAAGCCU